GCAUAAUAUAAUAUUAAGGAAAUACAUAUUUUACUGUAAGAGAAAAAGAACACUAGUAAUAAGUAAAAGCAGUUAAAGAAAAACCCUACGAUGUUAAAUUUGAGGUGGAAAGAUCAGUUUGAACUCAUGAUUGUUUUAAAAAUGAGUUUCCAGUUUCUGUUCGCUGACAGAUCUAGAAGCAAAAACAUUCCUGUAGCAGUGAACACACAUCACACUGUGUGCUCUUCUUUUCUAGCCGUCGUUCCCCACUAAGGGAGCCAGGACUCCUUGAAGACAUGGUUAUUUCUGGGUCUGGGGCUAAAAACAUACAGCAUGAGUCCUCUGCAGAGUAUCCUGUGGUGCCAAGGGAUGCGGGAGCUUACCUGAAAGACCUCCAUGGCUCGCUGUGGGACCACAUGAACACCAAAAGGGAUAAUGAGAGUGUCCACUUCGAACACAUUUUUUUAAAGAUUUUAUUUAUUUAUUCAUGAGAAACACAGAAAGAGAGAGAGGCAGAGACACAGGCAAAGGGAGAAGCAGGCUCCAUGCAGGGAGCCCGAUGUGGGACUCGAUCCCCGGUCUCCAGGACCAGGCCCUGGGCUGAAGGUGGCGCUAAACCGCUGAGCCACCCAGGCUGCCUCACAUUUUUUUUAAAUCCAUGAAUCCACAGUGAUUUUUUUUUUUUUUUUUUUUAGGGGAAAAAGAUGGGGUAAAUUCCAGCUCGUAAAUGUGGAAGGAAUCAAAGAAUGAACCACCACCGCUUGCAAUCAGGGCCCAACUGCUCUGGUCCUCCCUUGGGUCCCAGGACUGCACCACUGGGCUUGCUCUCCUCUGCCCUUGCUGUGGGAACCAGUCUGAAUUCUGCAACACAGGUAAGCAACAAACAAGUGCACCUUUCCUCAGGAAUUAGACUCUGGAGUCAGAGCCUCCCUGCUACUCUGCACUCGACAGCACGGGAGGCCGGGAGGCCAUGGACAUGGCCUGGAGCUGCUCAGUGUAGCCUCCUUGAUUGCAGAGUGGGGCUGGUGAUCAUGGUAGGGUUAUUGGGAGGAUUAGUCUUUCUCUUCCUCAAGAGAUGGCAACCUCCAGGUGGGCAAGAAACUUCCAUGUCUGUCACGGUCACCAUCCUAUCCUUAUAGGAUACACUUAAUGCUUGCACAUCCUCAGGCACUCCAAAAAAUAUAUUGACCCAAAUGAGCAAUAUUCAGAUGCUCUCCCACAAGAGGAAAAGGUGUGACCGUCCACUUUGGGUUGGAGGGAUCAUGCAGGGCUGUCAGGAUCUGUUAGAAGAUAAACUGAGGCAUAUUAAAAAUUGUAAGCAUGUAUGUGAGCAAAACUCAACUCAAAUCCAGCAGCACCAAACCAAAAGUGAUUAGGGGCCCUUAACUGGUCAGGGCCAUGGGAAAGGCAGAGAAAGUGCAGAAGCAAAGAUAGGAAAUUAUUUGAUUGAGUGUAGUUG
rnacentral:lncRNA from 1 species